rnacentral:rRNA from 1 species
GAUGAACGCUGGCGGCGUGCCUAAUACAUGCAAGUCGAGCGAACGGACGAGAAGCUUGCUUCUCUGAUGUUAGCGGCGGACGGGUGAGUAACACGUGGACAACCUACCUAUAAGACUGGGAUAACUUCGGGAAACCGUAGCUAAUACCGGAUAAUAUUUUGAACCGCAUGGUUCAAAAGUGAAAGACGGUUUUGCUGUCACUUAUAGAUGGUUCCGCGCUGCAUUAGCUAGUUGGUAAGGUAACGGCUUACCAAGGCAACGAUGCAUAGCCCACCUGAGAGGGGGAUCGCCCACACGGGAGGGGAACCACGGUCCAGACGCCUACGGGAGGCAGCAGAAGGGAAUAUUCCGCAAUGGGGGAAAGCCGGACGGAGCAACGCGGCGUGAGUGAUGAAGGUUUUCGGAUCGUAAAACUCUGUUAUUAGGGAAGAACAUAUGUGUAAGUAACUGUGCACAUCGUGACGGUACCUAAUCAGAAAGCCACGGCUAACUACGUG